UACGUAGGGUGCAAGCGUUGUCCGGAAUUAUUGGGCGUAAAGAGCUCGUAGGCGGUCUGUCGCGUCGGCUGUGAAAACCCGGGGCUCAACCCCGGGCCUGCAGUCGAUACGGGCAGACUAGAGUGCGGUAGGGGAGACUGGAAUUUACGGUGUAGCGGUGAAAUGCGUAGAUAUCGUAAGGAAGACCAGUGGCGAAGGCGGGUCUCUGGACAGUUCCUGACGCUGAGGCACGAAGGUCAGGGGAGCAAACGGG
rnacentral:rRNA from 1 species